AAAUACUCAGUCUAAAUUGGUGAGAAGAGUCAGAGGAGUUUGCACUCCUGCAUCAGCCAGAGAGAGUAAUGGAGCAAACUGAACUCUCCACAGACACAGCUAACAAAGUGAUUUUAUGCAGGGCAGCCAUUGCCUGGAGGGCAAAUGCUCCCCUGUCCAUUGAACUACUUGAAGUUGAUCCACCAAAGGCUUGUGAGGUUCGAAUUAAGAUUCUAUCUUCUGGGAUCUGUGGUACCGAUCUGCACAUCCUAGAAGGGAGAAACAAAGUACCUCUUCCUGCAGUUUUGGGCCAUGAGGGAGCUGGAAUUAUAGAGAGUGUUGGAGAAGGUGUAACCUCUGUGAAACCAGGAGAUAAAGUCUUAAUGUUACCUCUUCCAGAGUGCAGAGAAUGCUGUUUCUGUUUGCACCCCAAGGGCAACGUAUGUGUGAAGGAAGAUAUUCUUUCUCCAACUGGAUUAAUGUUAGAUGGAACCAGCAGGUUUACCUGCAAAGCACAGAAGAUUCAUCAUCUUUUUGGCACUAGCACCUUCACUGAAUAUACUGUUGUGCAUGAAAUUGCAGUGGUAAAAAUUGAUGAUGCUUCUCCAAUGAAUAAAGUCUGUAUCAUUAGCUGUGAGGUGCCUACAGGCUUUGGAGCCGUAUUUAACACUGCAAAGGUUACUCCUGGUUCCACCUGUGUUGUCUUUGGACUUGGAGGAAUUGGUUCAGCCAUAGUCAUGGCAUGCAAAGCCUCUGGUGCUUGUAGGAUCAUUGGGGUUGACAUCAACGAGAAUAAAUUUCCCAGGGCAAGAGCAUUAGGAGUCACAGAUUUUCUCAACCCUCGGAACCUCAAGAAGCCUGUUCAGCAGGUGGUAGUUGAAAUGACAGGCUUCGGUGCUGACUUUGCCUUUGAGGCCAUCGGACUCAUUGAUACCAUGGUUGCGGCUUUGGAGUCAUGCCGUCGGAGCUAUGGAGUCUGUGUGAUUAUGGGAGUAGCCCCCAACCGUGAACAACUCUCCUUUGAUCCACAGUUGAUUAACUCUGGGAGAACCCUGAAAGGCAGCUUUUUGGGAGGUAGGUCUUUGAUGCCACAUCACCUUUUCCAGAAAUCUGGUCACCCUGCAUUGUCUUUGGCAAGAAACGAAGGAAUGAAAAGAGUACAAAAGCAGAGAUUGCAUUCCUAAACUUGUAACUGACUACCUGCAAAAAAAAAUCAACAUAGAUCCACUUAUAACUCAUACAUUCCAUUUUGAAAGAAUAAACAAUGCAUUUGAAGUGCUCCAGGAUGAAAAUGAAAAUUGUAUCCGCUGUGUCCUCUUGUUUUGAGAUUCCCAGAUGAUAAAAUGGAGCGUGAAUUUCCUCAGCAAUGCUAUUUGCUUCCUUUUUCACUACCUUGAUGACUCCAUUCCAAUAUAUAUAACCCAAAAUUGGAAAGAGAGCACUUCUGGAAUUUUAAGAAAUAAAACUGUUAUAAUAAACUAUUUUGAAACUGG